rnacentral:rRNA from 1 species
UACGUAGGGUGCGAGCGUUAAUCGGAAUUACUGGGCGUAAAGCGUGCGCAGGCGGUUUUGUAAGCCAGAUGUGAAAGCCCCGGGCUCAACCUGGGAAUGGCAUUUGGGACUGCAAGGCUGGAGUUUGGCAGAGGAGACUGGAAUUCCUGGUGUAGCAGUGAAAUGCGUAGAUAUCAGGAGGAAUACCGAUGGCGAAGGCAGGUCUCUGGGCUAUAACUGACGCUCAUGCACGAAAGCGUGGGGAGCAACAGGAU